rnacentral:rRNA from 1 species
AACGAACGCUGGCGGCGUGCCUGAGACAUGCAAGUCGUGGGAGAAAGUCGGAGCAAUCCGGCUAGUAAACCGGCGCGCGGGUGAGUAACACGUGGACAACCUGCCUUGGAGUUCGGGAUAACCCGUCGAAAGACGGACUAAUACCGGAUAUGACCACGGGGAGUUCGCUCUCUGAGGUAAAAGAUGGCCUCUGCUCCUGCAAGCUAUCUCUUCGAGAGGGGUCCGCGUCCUANCAG